UACAUGGGGUGCAAACGUUGCUCGGAAUUAUUGGGCGUAAAGCGCACGUAGGCGGUUUGUUAAGUCGGAUGUGAAAUCCCUCGGCUCAACUGAGGAAGUGCAUCCGAAACUGGCAGGCUUGAGUACUAAAGAGGGUCGCGGAAUUCCCGGUGUAGAGGUGAAAUUCGUAGAUAUUGGCUGGAACACCGGUGGCGAAAGCGGCUCUCUGGCCCGGUUCUGACGCUGAGACACGAAAGCGUGGGUAGCAAACAGG
rnacentral:rRNA from 1 species